GUGGAUGCCUUGACUGGUAAAGGCGAUGAAGGACGUACUAGACUGCGAUAAGCUACGGGGAGCUGUCAAGAAGCUUUGAUCCGUAGAUUUCCGAAUGGGGCAACCCAAUGUAUAGAGAUAUACAUUACCUAUAUAGGAGCGAACGAGGGGAAUUGAAACAUCUUAGUACCCUCAGGAAAAGAAAUCAAUAGAGAUUGCGUCAGUAGCGGCGAGCGAAAGCGCAAGAGGGCAAACCCAGUGCUUGCACUGGGGGUUGUAGGACUGCAAUGUGCAAGAGGUGAGUUUAGCAGAACAUUCUGGAAAGUAUAGCCAUAGAGGGUGAUAGUCCCGUAUGCGAAAAACAAACCUUAGCUAGCAGUAUCCUGAGUAGGGCGGGACACGAGAAAUCCUGUCUGAAGCUGGGUCGACCACGAUCCAACCCUAAAUACUAAUACCAGAUCGAUAGUGCACAAGUACCGUGAGGGAAAGGUGAAAAGAACUGAGGUGAUCAGAGUGAAAUAGAACCUGAAACCAUUUGCUUACAAUCAUUCAGAGCCCUAUGUAGCAAUACAGGGUGAUGGACUGCCUUUUGCAUAAUGAGCCUGCGAGUUGUGGUGUCUGGCAAGGUUAAGCAAACGCGAAGCCGUAGCGAAAGCGAGUCUGAAUAGGGCGCUUAGUCAGAUGCUGCAGACCCGAAACGAAGUGAUCUAUCCAUGAGCAAGUUGAAGCUAGUGUAAGAACUAGUGGAGGACUGAACCCAUAGGCGUUGAAAAGCCCCGGGAUGACUUGUGGAUAGGGGUGAAAGGCCAAUCAAACUUCGUGAUAGCUGGUUCUCUCCGAAAUAUAUUUAGGUAUAGCGUUGUGUCGUAAUAUAAGGGGGUAGAGCACUGAAUGGGCUAGGGCAUACACCAAUGUACCAAACCCUAUCAAACUCCGAAUACCUUAUAUGUAAUCACAGCAGUCAGGCGGCGAGUGAUAAAAUCCGUCGUCAAGAGGGAAACAACCCAGACUACCAGCUAAGGUCCCUAAAUCUUACUUAAGUGGAAAACGAUGUGAAGUUACUUAAACAACCAGGAGGUUGGCUUAGAAGCAGCCAUCCUUUAAAGAAAGCGUAAUAGCUCACUGGUCUAGUGAUUUUGCGCGGAAAAUAUAACGGGGCUAAAGUAAGUACCGAAGCUGUAGACUUGCGCACAACUUAGAUUAUUUAAGUUUAGAAUAUGAGAAACUAAGUUAUAUGUUUAGUUAUAUUUUUACUGAUUUUUAUAGAGUAAAGAUAGAAAUAAAACUUAGUAAAAUCAGUAAAAAUAUUCUUAGACUAAAGUUAAGUAGUUUAAGUUGUGUGCAAGUGGUAGGAGAGCGUUCUAUUUGCGUCGAAGGUAUACCGGUAAGGAGUGCUGGAGCGAAUAGAAGUGAGCAUGCAGGCAUGAGUAGCGAUAAUUAAUGUGAGAAUCAUUAACGCCGUAAACCCAAGGUUUCCUACGCGAUGCUCGUCAUCGUAGGGUUAGUCGGGUCCUAAGUCGAGUCCGAAAGGGGUAGACGAUGGCAAAUUGGUUAAUAUUCCAAUACCAACAUUAGUGUGCGAUGGAAGGACGCUUAGGGCUAAGGGGGCUAGCGGAUGGAAGUGCUAGUCUAAGGUCGUAGGAGGUUAUACAGGCAAAUCCGUAUAACAAUACUCCGAGAACUGAAAGGCUUUUUGAAGUCUUCGGAUG
rnacentral:rRNA from 1 species